GAUCAAGCGACUAAGUGCAUCUGGUGGAUGCCUUGGCGAUCAUAGGCGAUGAAGGACGUGUAAGCCUGCGAAAAGCGCGGGGGAGCUGGCAAUAGAGCAUUGAUCCCGCGAUGUCCGAAUGGGGAAACCCACCUCUUUUGAGGUAUCCCUGGCUGAAUCCAUAGGCCAGCGGAGGCGAACCCGGCGAACUGAAACAUCUAAGUAGCCGGAGGAAAAGAAAUCAACCGAGAUUCCGCAAGUAGUGGCGAGCGAACGCGGAAGAGCCUGUACGUGAUAGCAGUCGUGUUAGAAGAACGGUCUGGAAAGGCCGGCCAUAGUGGGUGAUAGCCCCGUAUUCGAAAACACAAUUGUGGUACUGAGCGUACGAGAAGUAGGGCGGGACACGUGAAAUCCUGUCUGAAGAUGGGGGGACCAUCCUCCAAGGCUAAAUACUCAUGAUCGACCGAUAGUGAACCAGUACCGUGAGGGAAAGGCGAAAAGAACCCCGGGAGGGGAGUGAAACAGAACCUGAAACCGGAUGCAUACAAACAGUGGGAGCCUGGAAACGGGUGACUGCGUACCUUUUGUAUAAUGGGUCAGCGACUUACAUUCAGUAGCGAGCUUAACCAGAUAGGGGAGGCGUAGCGAAAGCGAGUCCGAACAGGGCGUUGAGUUGCUGGGUGUAGACCCGAAACCGGAUGAUCUAUCCAUGGCCAGGAUGAAGGUGCGGUAACACGCACUGGAGGUCCGAACCCACGUCUGUUGCAAAAGACGGGGAUGAGCUGUGGAUAGGGGUGAAAGGCUAAACAAAUCCGGAAAUAGCUGGUUCUCUCCGAAAACUAUUUAGGUAGUGCCUCGAGAUUACACUGACGGGGGUAGAGCACUGUUAUGGCUAGGGGGUCAUUGCGAUUUACCAACCCAUGGCAAACUCCGAAUACCGUCAAGUGCGUCCUCGGGAGACAGACAGCGGGUGCUAACGUCCGUUGUCAAGAGGGAAACAACCCAGACCGCCAGCUAAGGUCCCAAAUGACAUGCUAAGUGGUAAACGAAGUGGGAAGGCCAAGACAGCCAGGAUGUUGGCUUAGAAGCAGCCAUCAUUCAAAGAAAGCGUAAUAGCUCACUGGUCGAGUCGUCCUGCGCGGAAGAUGUAACGGGGCUCAAGCAUGUAACCGAAGCUGCGGAUGCGUACUUGUACGCAUGGUAGGAGAGCGUUCUGUAGGCCUGCGAAGGUGGUGGUGUAAACCCUGCUGGAGGUAUCAGAAGUGCGAAUGCUGACAUGAGUAGCGAUAAAGCGGGUGAAAGUCCCGCUCGCCGAAAACCCAAGGUUUCCUACGCAACGUUCAUCGGCGUAGGGUGAGUCGG
rnacentral:rRNA from 1 species